rnacentral:rRNA from 1 species
AUGCAGUCGACGCUUCUUUUUCACCGGAGCUUGCUCCACCGGAAAAAGAGGAGUGGCGAACGGGUGAGUAACACGUGGGUAACCUGCCCAUCAGAAGGGGAUAACACUUGGAAACAGGUGCUAAUACCGUAUAACAAUCGAAACCGCAUGGUUUUGAUUUGAAAGGCGCUUUCGGGUGUCGCUGAUGGAUGGACCCGCGGUGCAUUAGCUAGUUGGUGAGGUAACGGCUCACCAAGGCCACGAUGCAUAGCCGACCUGAGAGGGUGAUCGGCCACAUUGGGACUGAGACACGGCCCAAACUCCUACGGGAGGCAGCAGUAGGGAAUCUUCGGCAAUGGACGAAAGUCUGACCGAGCAACGCCGCGUGAGUGAAGAAGGUUUUCGGAUCGUAAAACUCUGUUGUUAGAGAAGAACAAGGAUGAGAGUAACUGUUCAUCCCUUGACGGUAUCUAACCAGAAAGCCACGGCUAACUACGUGCCAGCAGCCGCGGUAAUACGUAGGUGGCAAGCGUUGUCCGGAUUUAUUGGGCGUAAAGCGAGCGCAGGCGGUUUCUUAAGUCUGAUGUGAAAGCCCCCGGCUCAACCGGGGAGGGUCAUUGGAAACUGGGAGACUUGAGUGCAGAAGAGGAGAGUGGAAUUCCAUGUGUAGCGGUGAAAUGCGUAGAUAUAUGGAGGGACACCAGUGGCGAAGCGGCUCUCUGGUCUGUACUGACGCUGAGCUCGAAGCGUGGGAGCA